rnacentral:lncRNA from 1 species
AGCCCAUUACCAUCCCUAUUACUAGUAAAAGAGUUAAAUGAUAAAUCAAGAAAAGUUAGGUUUUUAAGACCAUCGAUUGAUACGAAAUCAACCCACGGAGAUUAUUCCUAUUGAGUUCGACACUUAAGAGGGUUGAAAGUAAAGUAAAAUCGAGUUGGCCACGCGUGCCAUCAAGUUUUGCACCAAAGAAGCUUAUUCAAGAAAUGGACAUUUCAAUGUUGCAUACAACCCCUGUCCAAUUACAGAGAUUAUUAACAUUGUCAAUUUUUCACAAAUCAGGAACAGUAGGAUUUAAGAUGGAAUUCUUCCACGUUAAAAAAAAUCUGCUUGUGUUUUCUUAGAUGAAACAAUACUUUGAAUUGGAAGCAAACUGAAUAUAAAAAUAUGAAGAAGGAAAAACAAGAAUAUUUUUAAUGUUUUCAUGAUUAUUUGUUUUACGUUUCAUUACCUUUUUCCUCUCUUCUUAUAUAAAGGUAAGGAUGUGACAUAUAUGCAGAAAAAUCAUGAAAACAAAUUGAAAGAAAUCACAUGGCAGAACUUGUAAUUUUUGUAUUUGAAUGUAUGAUGAUAAACUCAUCAUAUUUAGAAAGGGAGGGAUGGACUCCGCAAGUCACAAAAAAGUUGAAAGAAGUCGCAUGGCAGAACUUGCAAUUUUUGUAAUUGAAUGUAUGAUGAAAAAAUCAUCAUACUUAAAAAGGGAGGAAUAGACACGUGAGUAGAAGUUCACAUUUUAGAUAUUAGCAUUUAAUGUUUUGCAUCUUUUUGAAAAUAAAGUACUAGUCCUCUUUUUGAUUCUUUUUGAAACACUGAUGAAAAAAUAAUGUCAUCACAUUAGAUAUUGCACUAAGGGGACUGUUCAUCUUCCUCCGAAUAUACUGACUCAAUAUCUGCUGCUUCUUCAAUUUUUGUUGUUGCAUAAAUUUGAUGCAGGAUUUUUCCAUUCUUUUGAUGUGUACAAUUUUUUUGCAAAAUGGCCACAUAUGAAACAUCUAUAUCUUUUCUUUUUUUGUAAAUUUCUAUUUGAAAAAUCUUUUCCUUUGAGGAAAGGAUUCAGAAAAUCUUUUAUUGUGGAAUUUAAACUUUCUUCUAUGGUACUUUUUCUUUCUUGAACGAUCACAACUGUUGUUGUCAUGACGGCAUUUGAUUUUCAAAUCUGGUUGAUCACAAGCCAUUUCAAGCUUUUGGCCCGUUGUAUUGAUAUCCUUUAAAAACAUUCUUUGGUAAUAGAGUUUUUUCACGGAUCACUUGACCCAAUUAUGGAGUUCUCCAAAUGAGGUGGUUGACCAUGAUUGUCAUUUUUAGCUCAGUCAUUCUCAGUGUCUCUUGACUAAGAGGAUAUGGUAUGGAUUUCAGGUAAGCUUGCUUUAAGUUGGUAUCGUUCAUUCCACCAAUAAGAUAAUGCCGUCUGGCAUGAAAGUGUUUGUCCAAAUCUUUAGGAUUAUAAGAACAACACUUUAACUUGAAAAAUUCUUCCCUUGUUGCAUGCUUCAAAUGAUCCGUCUUUCCACAAAAUUUCUAGGACAAUGAUUUUUAUAAAAGCAUUAAUUGUUGGGGGAAUUUGAAUAUUGGAUCUGGCUAUAUUCUCCAAGAGCAUCAUACCAAUCUUUAAGGAAAUUGGUAGUUCUUGCCAUUAAAGAUUUUAUGACCGUGGUAUAAGUCAUAUUUGACAUUUGCAAUUCUGUUGAACAACAUGCUUUCAUUUCUUGGAAUCUUGCAUUCCACAUAUUUGGAGGAAUAUCAUCAAAAGUAAAUUUGGUUGUGGAAGUAUUGCUUUGCGAAUAAUAAUUAUUCACCACGAGUGUCAAAAUUAGCCAUUUCUUCAUCAAUUAUUUCUGGUUCAUCAACAACGGGAUUUCUUUAUUGAGUUUGACUUGCUUGUGGUCUGUCAGCGAUAUAGAAAGGCAUCAUCUUCUAGAGAAUUAUCGAGGACUCUUCAAGUUCAGAACUUGUUUCAUUUGUGAUGGUUAAGACAGGAGAUCUAUAAGAGGAAGAAUUUUAAGCCUUUUGUAGUAAGGUGGUGAUGUGAUUUUUUUAUCGUCAUUUGUGGUCCUUUUUUCGGAUUUGGUGGAGGUAAAGCUUGUGGAUUUUGUGGAGACAGUUUGGGGAUUUUGUAAAGGCAAUUGAUUGGUUUUCUUUGCACUAGAAAGAUGAAGGAGUUUUAAGUUCUUUUCCCAUUCUUUAGGAAUGAAAAGUGAAGUUGUAGAUCCAAAAGCUCCAAUUGAAUACAUAGGUCUUGAAGUUUGUGAGAGAUGAAAAUAUGCAGUUGGAUGGUAUGGAGUAGAAGGUGGGAUCAUAGAAUUUUUUUCAAGAGAAACAAGUUGGUUUUUAAGAUUUCUUAUUUUUCUUUCUUGGUUUUCUAUGGGCAAACAGUUUUGUAAAAGAUUUAUGAUUUCAGCGUGGAGGGACUUUAUUUUUUAUUUUUUUUGUUUACGGGCUUGGAGAGGGGUUAACAUGGUUUAUGCUUCAUGUUGUAGAGUUAUUUCAAUUCUUUGCUGACUUUGGUAAAUUCUUUCCAACAAAAAAUUUUGUUGGAUUGCAUUGUUUGACUGUCCGCUCAAAACUGCUAUUGUUGCUGAAAGCUAAUCAACUGAACCAUCUAAUUCCUAGAUAUAGGAUUCAUGAUUUUCCUGGCAUGAGAAGACCGCUCUUUGUCAAAAGAGGUUAGUGGAGGAAAAUCUUAUUGUUGAGGUGGAUGGAACAAAGCUAUAGGCAUGACUGUUUGUGGAGAUGGAAGUGGACUAUUAUUUCAUUCUCAUUUAGUUUGCAUUUGGUUGCAAUCGUCAUCAUCAUCCCGUCCAAUAGGAAUGAUGGGUUCAUCAUCCCAUCUAGUAGGAAUGAUAGGUUCAUCAGUUGUAGGGGUAGAGUAUAUUUGACAUAAUAGUCAAAUUUUCCAGAAGACUCAUAACAAAUCAACUCCUGCAGAUUUGUUUUCAUAUGCUUUACACAAUCUUUGCUGGCUAUUCUUCUUUUUUUCUUAAGAGGUUUAUCUUCAAAUAAAGCCUCUUCAUCCUCCAUACAUUUUGCACAAAAACAUACGUCCCAAUAAGUACGUCUUGAAUCAUUAGAUGUGUAAUAAAUAGGUUUGCUAUUUGCAUCGAAUCCACAAAAUAGGAAUUUCUCCGUUUGUUAAGGCAAACUGUGUAGGGAAAUGGGGAGUCGUUUUUAUUGGGGAUUUCUUUUCAAACAUAUUUUGGACUUCGCCAUUUGACUAUCUUCUAAAAUGAUUGGUUGAUGGCUAGAAUGGUAAAGAAUUUUUUAAUGCCUGGUGAUGCUACUCAUAACUAGUAAUCCACAUUUGUGGAGUUAUUUUAAUGAGCUCCGAUCUGGGAAUUUGUCUAAUUAUUAUAUGAACAGCUUGACAGGUCUGUUCCCAUUUGGAUGAAUAAAGCAUCAUGUGUACCAUAAGGGAUAGCAAAAUAAAGAGAAUGAUUUUGAUUUCUGUAGGCCAUCUAGUAGUGAAGAGUUGCUCCGUAUGUGACUGCUGUUGGAAUUGCGCCAACAAUUUGGAACUAGAUAUUCAAGGCUAAUACUAUCAAUGAGUUUGCUAUUGGCAUGUUAGAGUUUGGAAACAUAAUAACAAGUACUGUUCCAACAUUGAGGGUAGCUUCCACCGUGCCAAUACAUGCGUGUUGAUAAUCAGCUAAACAUGUAUCUAGUAGGGCAAUUCUAGAAAUCGUAGGAGUCCAUUUCUUCCAUGGAGAGUAAGUGCAAUUCUUACAGCUCCAAAAUGAAUAUGGUUAAAAUCUUUAUAUAACCAUGUUUUUGGAAAAUGGGAUGGUAAAUCUAAAGUGACAAAUUAUUUCUUUUUAGUGGCAGAUAAAAGAUGUUGAUCGAACUUUGUUGUUUGGACAAACUCUUUGAUUUGGGAUUUUGAUGGUGAUAUGAGGCUUAGGACAAUUUUCGUGAAAGAGUGUCGUGAUUUAUUUUGAGCGAGAUAAGGGUUUACAAGGGGUAGAUCUGUGAUUGAACCUUUUUCAGAAUUUGGAAGAUAGGAUUUUUCAUGAAGAAAGUCAAUUUUAGAGGAAAAAGUUUUACAAAGGGAGGUAGAAGGAGAUAAAAUGGAUGAACUAGAAGAUUCAACAGACAAAAUUAACAAGGUGUUCUUCCUAAUUUCUUUCAUAUUGGAUUUUCCCAAUCAGAGAUAGUAAGAUCAAGGUAACAACAUGACUUCGAUACCAAUAGAGUGGGGGUAUGACAACCUAUGCAAUACACGAUAUUCUAGCUCGCAACAAACUAUAUGCAUUUAAUGUGAUGUAAAAUUGUCUUAUAACAUCAUUUAUAUAUUUACUUUUUCAAUUAAAUAUUAAAUUAGUAAAAAGUUCUAAUGUGAUGACUUCUUUUUCUCUUCAGUGUUUCAAAAAUAAUAAAAAAUAGGAUUGGUACUUUACUUGCAAAAAGAGAUAAAAUAUUAAAUGCUAAUAUUUAAGAUGUGGAUUUCCACCUACGAGCCCAUCACUUCCUUUUUAAGUAUGAUGAUUUUUUCAUCGUACAUUCAAUUACAAAAAUUUCAAGUUUGUCAUGUGACUUUUUUUAAUUUUUUUCGUGACUUGCGGAGUCCAUCCUUUCUUUUCUAAGUAUGAUGAGUUUCUUAUCAUACAUUCAAAUACAAAAAUUGCAAGUUUUGUUAUGUGAUUUUUUUCAAUUUGUUUUCAUGUAUGUCACAUCCUUACCAAGGAUAAAGGUAAUGAUAUGUAAAACAAAUAAUUAUGGAAAUAUUAAAAUUUUUUAUUUUUUUUUUGUUCUUCAUAUCCUCAAUUUUAGUUUGCUUCCAAUUUCAAACAUUGUUUUAUCUAAGAGAACGCAAGCAGAUGCUCUUUUAAGAUGGAAAAACUCUAUUUUAAAUCCUCUGUUUUUGAUUCGUGGAAACUUGACAAUAUUAGCAAUCUCUAUAGUUGAACGGGGAUUGUAUGCAACAUUGAGGGAUUCAUUUCUUAAAUAAGCUUGUUUAGUGCAGAACUUGAAGGCACGCUUGACCAACUCGAUUUUGCUUUACUUUCUACUCUCUUAUGUAUUGGCCUCAGUAGGAAUGAUCUCCGUGAGUAGAUUCUCAUAUCAAAUUGGUGAUCUUGAAAAUCCAACUUCUUUUGAUUUGUCAUUUAACUCAUUUCAAAUCGGACCCAUUAAAUAAUGUUGACGAUUGAAAACAAUUCUUUCACUAAGGAAAUUCCAUUUGAAAUUGGUUUGUCAACAAAUUUCACAUAUAUUUUAUAUAAACGGUGAUAGGAAGUUUGGCAAACUUGAAGGUAGUAGACAUUUCAGUUAAUAUAUUUUUAGAAGAAAUACCUCCAACGUUGACGGAUCUAACAGAUCUUCGCUACAUGAAUAUUUCCUUCAACCAUCUCACAUGUAUGAUUUCACUUGGAAAUUUGAAGUCAGUUAUUAUUUUUCUUUUGAUCUUAGUAUGAUCAAUUGAGUGGCCAGUUGCACAAAAUCAUCUCCAAGUUCGGUGAGAAAUUGGUUUAUUUGAAUUUGAAGCAGAAUCACUUUCAUGGCUCCAUUCCUAAAAUAUUUACCAAGCGAUAUUAACUGCUUAUAUUGAAUUUAAAUGGAAAUCUAUUGAAUAGAACUUUACCAAAAACAUUGGUCAAUUAUAGGAAGUUUGAAGCACUAGAUAUUGGAGAAAACAAUGAAAUAAAUGAUCAAUUCUCCUUUUUGAUGGGAACUCUUCUGAAUCUUUGAAUUUUUAUAUUGAAAUUCAACUAAUUUCAUGCUAUAAUACCUAUUUCAAAGGUAAAAUAUCCAUUUUCUAAGUUGCAAAUUCUUGACCUAUCCUAUAAUGCGUUCGUUAGUGUUCUUUCAGUUGAAUUUUUAGAUAAUUUCAAAGCUAUAAUGAUGUGUAAGUAAAAGUGAAACUGUACGUCGUGUUUUUCCAGUUGAAAUUGUAGAUAAUUUCAGACCCAUGAUGAAUCUGAGUAAAGGUGAAAUUGUACUUGGAGAUUGUUCGACUUUUUUGCUGAAAGAGUGUGAGUAUGAGUUGCGGAGUAUUCGAAGAGCCUAUACAAGCAUCGAUUUAUGAAACAAUAAAUUUCAAGGAGAUAUUUCAAGUCCUCUAGUUAAGAUUACGAAUCUCCGUACUCUAAAUGUAUCUUAUAAUAGUUGUCACAUCCCCCUAACAGAAAAUUUGACUUUACUUGAAUUACUAGAUCUUCGUUCAAAUCAAUUGGUAGGAGAUAUUCCUUAGCAAUUGACAAAGUUGACACAGAAAGAUGAUGACUUAAUGACGAGCCAAAAAUGUAGCUUCCAAUGUCGAGGACACAGAAAGAUGAUGACUUCAAUAUUUUAGAUGGAUUCACUUGGCAAGCUGUUAUCAUGGGGUAUGGAUGUGGAAUGUUGUCUGGAUUGAUUACAGGAUACUUUAUUUUUAAAUGUGAAAAACCCAGGUGGUUGAUAGGAUUUGUUUAUCGAAUUUACAAAACAAUAAGGCUGGUGAAAGUGGAGGUAAAUUGCUUGUAUUUAUUAGUUGAAGAAGAAGUAAGCUCAAUUUUAAGCCUUAAUAGAAUAUGCAUAUCAAUAAUAUUUGUUAGGAGGAGAAUAUAAAUGUAUUAUUAUCAUUCGGAUAUAACAAAUCCUUCAUUUUCCUUCUUCGUAAUCUUUUUCUUUUUUCUUUAAUUGAACAUUGUUAUAUAAGAGAACAUAAGCAAAUUUUUCUAAUUUUGAUAUUGCAAUUAGUAGUAAUUUUUUUUUUUUUUCACCAUAUUCAAUGAAACCAAGUUAUCUAAAGGAAAUGUCUCAUCCUUCCGAAACCAUAUUCCUCCUUCCCUUAGUUGAUUCCUACCAAAACUGUAAAAUUAGCAACUUAAUCUCUCGGCAAAACAAAUUCUGGCAGCGUGAGCAAACGGCUCAUACAUGUAGGUAUAAGCUAGACAAGAAUAUAUUUUUGUGUGGUGCGCUUUGUCUAACUUGCCAUCAAAACAUAAAAUGCUAACAAAAAGAAUCAUUAUAUGUAAGACUCGCGCAAUCCUCCCAAAAUGCUCUUAUGAUUUGACCUUAAGAUCACGAGUUGCCUCUCACAUCCCUAUUUUAAGAUAAGAAGAAAGAAAAAGAAUUUUAAAGGAUCGAUUGAUUUACCGCUGUUUGAUUUGUCCCCAUCUCCAUUUGCCAUGAACUGUUGUUAUAUAUACAACGUGGAUCACUUUAGAUAUUUAUGGUACUCAGUACUGAGAAGUAUCGAAUUCAACACUAAAAUAAAACUAAGAUUCCGAACAAGUGAGUGCGUACCACUCCAAAAUGACAGUAAGGGCAAAAACAUUUGAGCUCCUCAUCCUUCUUUUCAAAGUAUUAUUUAGAUUUUGACUAUAUAUUUUUGAAGUUCAUUAGAGCUUUGACUUGUUCGAAAUUAGAUCCAUGAGUCUCCUCGUUAUAUAGACAAAUAAUUUCAUUCGUAGUAAGUAUAUUUUUAUUUAAAUGAACCAUAAGAAAUUAGUUUUUGAAACUUAAACAAAGGUGAUCCAUGGCUAAAAUUAAUCAGACAAUUCCCCCUCAAAUUUGGCCAAACAUAGAAGAUGACGCUCUGUGGGAAGUUUUGAACCAUGCAGUCAAGAUUCAAUAGGACAUCUAAAUAUACAGAGAAUUACAAUGUUAACUUUUGGACAGAUAUUUGGGCACUAUCCAUCUCCUUCAUGAAAAAAUGACGACUCUUUGGAACCAGCUUUUCUUAGGAAGGUCAUUCCAACGCGUUGAAGGAACGUUUAAAUAUCCGGAAUGUAAUUCAAAUUACAUUUAAUCCGUAACGAUUCUAAAAUUUUUGAUGUCAUAUUCCUUGUAAAAUUUCAUAAUAAAAUGAUAUAAAUUAUAUUGAGGUCCCGUUUGAUUCUUAUUUUUCUCAAAAUGUAUUUUUUUCUUUUCUUUUCUUUUCAACAACGCAUUCUUAUUUAAAAUAAUAUUACAUGUAAAUAAAAAAAUUUUCAUCCACAUAUUAUCCCAUUAAUCUACUAUUCUAAAAUUCAUUUUUCUUUUAAAAUGGGUGUCAAAUAUCAUCUGAAAAAUUUAUUAUGCAAAAAUAAUAAACGUUAAUGAAAUAAUUGAAUUUUUUUUAAAGAAAGGAUGAGUUAGAUGUUUUUCUUAGACGUACGUUUAACUCACAUUUAACUAUUUUCGAUAUUCAUUUGGAUCAUUCGAUAUGGCAACGAUAUAGUUUUCUAAAUUAGCUUCUACAUGAUAUAGGCGAUUUGUGGAUUGAGAUAGUAUAUGAUCGCUGACGAAUUUUGAAAGUUAAUAUAUUAUCAAAGUUUUCAAAAUGCUAGUUUGAAAUGACCUAUUUUGACUCGUAACUUUUGCUGUGAUUGAUCAUUUUGCACGCCAUUAAUGAGAGAAAAAUUAUGCCAUGAGCAUUUUUAAAUGGUAUUUAGAACGUAACAUUUCGACUUCAUUUUUACAUUCUAAUAAUGAGUACGUCAAAGUAGAUUGUAAAAAGAUAAAAAACAACUAUUUUUUUGGGGGGAAAAAUAAAGCUAAAAUUUUGUGGGGUCAUUGGUCCCCACAUGAAUGUCCCCAUGUCCUUUCAUGCCCAUAGUUGCUAGUAACCAUAGAUAUACAUAUAGGAUUGUGUAUUCGAGGGUCCAAGAAGCAGUUGGACAAUGACCCAGUACUCAUCAUGCACAUUCUGACUACAAGUAUCCGAUGCUUUUUUUGCCAGGGAAAAUUACAUGGAGACAUGUUUUUCAAGUUUCAACUUCAAAAAUCACGUUUUAAGCUUUGUUUUACAAAAAUCAGAUGAUAAUUUAACUUUUUAAUAUUAAAAUAAUAAUAUCAUAAAAUUUAAUUAAUAAACCACCCCCAAAUCGAAAUUUUGCUGAAUUAUAUCGUAUUCCCCCUCUCCCCUCUCUCUCUCCCCACAUUGGCGUUGCAUCACGGUGGAGAGCACUAUUGUGUGCAACGGCGAAGAGCACUAUUACGCCAGAGUGAGAGCCUGAAGUGGCGAUUCUGUCAUAGUUACUCUUUGAGCGGCGUAGUACUCAUUGCUGUUGCUACAUACACCAGGCAUUUUGGGGCUUGUUGCAGUGCAAGGAGGGAUUUGUGUUGGAGAUUCAGGGAUUUUCAUGGGAGGAGCUUAUUGUGCAAUAAUUGAGGUUUGUGGUGUGGAAAUGGGCAGAGGUAGUGAAGUGGUGAUGACGGCCGGUAGUUUUGGUUGUUUUCGCGGCAUUGGCGGAUCGAGAACAUCCUUGCAAAACUGGUAUUCAAUUAUUCCGAUCUUGUCUCACCACGGCCAUGAAAUUGAGUUUGUGGUGAUGGUGGCUUUUGAUUUGAUGUAGAUAUGGUGGUGGUGGUGCUUGUGGAUUGGGGAACAAGUGGUGGUGAUGAUGGUGGCGGUGGUGCUUGUGGCCUAGGUAGUACCUUGCAGGAGGUGAUAUAUUUAAGGUUGUCCACGACAUAUUUAUUGUUGGAUCUUUAACGUGGUGGCAGUGGUGCGGUGAUGUGGGUGGUGGUGGUUAGGAUUUGUUGAAAGUGACGGUGGUGUGCAUUUGGUUGAUGUUGUUGGAGUGGUGGUAGCGACGAUGAAAAUCUAGUAUGAUCGAGUCUAUAUCCAUUGUGAGUGUCCGUGCCAGAUCUAUAAUAAUUGUGACUGUAUGUAACUUGGUUACAUAUAGUCACAAAUUAAAUUGAUAUGGUCACAAAUAGUCAAACUAGAGACAGAAUUGGUCACAAUUAGUCACAGAUAAGAAAGGUCAGUGAAUGUUGUAAAAUUGGAGGUGAAGGUAGUAGUGACUGGUAGUGGAUUGUGGUACUGGGAUACGGUGUGUGAAGAUUUGUUUAUGGUGACUCUUUGAGGUCAAGUAUGUGUUUAUUGUGAAAAUUGUGACUAAUUCUGUAUUAACUGUGAUCGAUUGUGACUUGAUCACAUACUGCCACAGUAAAUAUUGAAUUGGUCACAGACAGUCACACUGAAUACAAAUUUAAUCACAGUUAGUCACAGACAACACAUUUCGGUGACACACUGACUUGGUCAGAGACGAUCUGGCCAUAGUUAGUCACAGAUACACACAAGUAUGGUCACAAACUAUAAAUCUAAUUACAUAUAAAACAAUUAAUUACAAAACCUGUCAACUACAAUAUAACACUACUGCCAUCAUGCAGUACUCAAAAUGUUGUUAACACCUCACCACCACCACCACCAAACAGAUUAACUGCAAUGCAACUUCAUUACCUCCAAUGCAUUAUCUCUGCCAAAAUACAGAUCUAUUUUUUAAACACAGCUCCACCUUACCACCACAACCACCAUCUGUAAAGUUUUGUGUUUGAAUUCUGUUCCUUUGUUUGUUUUAGUUCUUGUGAAUGAAUUUAUUUCUGGUUUGCCACUGGUAUUGAAACAAUGUAGAACCACCCAAAAGAGAAACCUAGAAAAUCUUCUAUUUUAUCUCGUUGGUGAGUGCACUCUUACGUAUUUCAAUUUGACUUUAUUUUCAAGAAAUUAUGUUGUGCUGGGUGUAAUUUAAUUUUGUAAAUUCCUCAAGUGUUUUUCAACAUUAAUUACUUCAAAAUGGGAUCAAUUGUGGUUUUUAUUUUUCUUUAUCAUUACUACAAGGUUCCUUUUAAGAACUUUUAGUAUGCUAAUUUUGUGGGCAAUGAGUUAAUUUAUUUAUAUUUUUUGUAUUACUGCUUCACUUGACAUGUUAAUGUCGAUGAUUCAUAAAGACGGUAUGGGAGAUAUUUCUCAUGGCUUGGGGUGAGAAUUGCAUAUGGGUGGUGUAGAGGUUGAUAGUUCUAUAAUUUAAAUGGAUUUCUUUUUAUAAUAUACAUAUUUUUUGGUGUUGGAUUGCAUCAAUUGAGUCCUUAGUUGAAAAGGGGUGUGCAAUAAAGGCAAGGAAAUGAACAAGCCCUUUCAUUUUGAGUAAAUAAUCAUUGAUUGACUAAGAAUCCUUCUUUGUAUGUUUCAAAUUUGUCUUCAAAUGCAAGAUUUCCCACAAAAUAUAAGGCGGAAUCAACAGGUCAAAGGUGGUGGAGUCGAUGAUGUUGUUUCUUGUAGGUUGGUCGAUAGAUAGAAGCAGUCGAUGAUGAUGGUUUCUUACUCUUUUUUGUCCUUUUUUUCCCUUUAGUUUAUAAAAGGUUUCAAGAAUUUGUUUUAUUUACGUUUCUCUUACUACUUUUAUAGUUAAAACUGAAUUUAUUGAAGAUAUUUCAACCUUUGUAAAUCACUCUCCAUGAGCCUGUACCUAUAGAUUUAUGCCUUGUAUUGAUGGGUAAAGAUAACUUUCUAAUUCUUACAUUUCUAAUUGUAGAUAGUUGGGGGUGACAUAAGUAUUUAUAUCUCAAAUUUCCUUUUUUUCUUUCGGACAGUUGAUUUUAUGGAAGUUCACCGGUUUAUUUAAUAGGAGUCACCUACAAUACCGGUAGAAAUUAGAAGAACAAAUGGAAGGAAUUAGUUGACUGACUUCGCAUCAUAUUACUUGGUAUUGCCCUAAUACUUUUAUUUUGAGCGAACGGUGCAAGUUAUAGUGUAUAAGCCUUGGGAGAUAUUGUGCACUGAUUCUUAAGCAGGAUUUCAGCAAGGGAUAUGAUGGAAAGGAUGUUGUGCAAAAUCUACGCCAAGCUUGCUUUUUAAGAUAGCCAAUAAAAGUGGAAAACUAUGGCUUGAGUGGGAUUAUGUCGCAUAUUUUGCAAUCUGCUAUCCUAUGAAGGAGAACAAAUACAGUAAAGAUUGUGUAGAUGAAGUAAUCCGUUCACUUUGUAUGUUACAAUUCCUGUUUAUCAAUGUUUUAAUCAACCAACAAAAAAAAAAUUAAAUUAAAUUAAAGCAUGCAGUAUAAUGUAUGUUUACAUGAAUAUUCAUUUUCAUUUUGUAGAUGAGUUGAUGUGACCAAAAUCCUGUAUACUAUAAUGGAUACCAACAUUAACCAUACUGCAUCAUUUUAUUAUCACUAAGUGUCGUCAUUUGUCACUGUUUUAUUUUAAUUAUUUAAUUUUUUUCUCUUUUGAGAAUGAGAAAUCACAUCCAUUGUUCUUAAAUUGUUAGUUAACUACAAGGCUUAGGGAUUUAACAGUUAUGGCUGCUUAGAGUAAGCUGGAUGGUUGUUUACUGCUGUAGUAAUGGUUUUUUCCUAUUCGUAUUGCUUGUAGUUCUUGAAAUUAUGUUGAUUGAUGUGUAUUUAUCACCCUUAAAUUUUAAUUUCAUCUAAAUGCCUGCUGUAUCUUAUAAUGAGUUGUAUCCGUGUGAAACUGGUGACAUGGAUUAACCUUGGAUUUCGAUCAUAUUUCAUACAUUAUCGAUCAUCUAAAUGCUUGUAACCUGCUAGCUGGAAGUUGCAAUUGAAGGUGAGAUGGGGGAAGGUAUGAAAAUGAAGCUCUCAUCUCUCUAUUUUUAGAUGAUGAAAAGAUUACAAAAUCAGUUAAUAUCUUUGCAGAAUAUGGUAUCGCUAGAUAAAUAGAAGAUGUCAUAAUCUUCUAGAAUGUCAAAAAUAGAUGGCAUGGUUAAUAGACUUCACAUGAUGGUCUUUAAGCACCAAUGUUCCCAUCAAAUCUGCUCAAGAUACUAUUGACAUGCUAAAAAAUCAUUACCCUGAAAGACUAGCCAUGGAAUUUUUUACAAACCCCCAUGUAUAUUUGAAGCAUUUUGGAAGGUUUUCCAUUUUCCUUUUAUAAUCAUUGAUUUUAUUUUCUGAUCUUUAGGUAAUGAGAGAGUAGACUUUGCAUUAUGGGUUUCUUUUUUGUUGGAUUACAUGGGAUAACUGAAGCAUUCUUUUACAACGGUUAGAAUCAUCUUUUUAGUCGUGGUUUACUUCGUGAGGAAGGGAAUAUGUUGGAUUAGAACUUAGGACUAUACUACAUUAAAUUAAUUUUGUAUGUGCAGAUCUCAGUUAGGAAAUUUUACGUUUUUAUACUACAAUUUAUUCAUUUUCAUUAGGUAAAGAAUUGACCUUUCCUCCAUACUAAUUUAGAAAUGCUCUUUUAUUGCAGGUUGUAAAAUACUUUUUGAAUGCAAAAUCAUUCUAGAAUGUAAAUUUCUCUACCCAAAAAACAAAGAAAAUCAUGAGAUCCUAUUUUGAUGUAGACAAUCUUCCAGCUGAGUUCAGAGGUAAAGUCGUACUGGCUUUACUACAACCACGUGGAUAAAGCUUGAGAACAGUGUAAAAACAGUAGGUAUUGUAUUACUCCUGUUAUAGAUCUAUACGCAUAUUAGAGUUAAUGUUUAUCCAUCACUUCAAAUGCACUUUAUGAUAUGCAUUAUCUUUCAGUUACUUUGGCUGUACUUGGUGAGAAGACCGCAGUUAUGUCACCUAAAAUACUUGUUAAUGCCG